AUCGUUCACAAAUCCUAGUUUAACUGGUAAGAUUGUCGAAAUUGUUAGGUUGGAUAUCAUGAUCGGGAUUCGAACUCCGACCACUUCACUUUGUGUGUGAGUUUCAAUUGAUUUACCAUUUAGUCUAUAGUCACUGAGCUAACACCUCAAGUGUUAACUAAUAACGAAAGCUUAAGCGUUUUGCCUUCUCGUUCUUGAAAGGUUAUAAAAGAAAUAAAAGGUACGUAUAAUUGAGUAAGCUAAAGGGACAAAAACAACACACCCCAAUGUGUAAAAUAAUUUUUGAAGGUUUUCUUAUCUCCAAAGGAGCUAAAAGAAAUCAUAAAAUGUUAGACAAUUUUAUAUUUGUUACAUGUAAAGGAGAAAAAAUAUGACAAAAAUGCUCAAGUUUAUUUAUGUUAUGAUCGUCUUUAUUUCCUUAUUUCUUCGUGUAAUAUAUGUCAAUGCCCAAGGAUUCGCUAUUCACUGUGGAGAAGACGAGGAUUGUCAACCUUAUCAUCCUGAUUCCUGAACACAAUUUAUGUUCCCUACCUCAUUUGACUGUGAAGUGUGUUGAAGCAUUACGAGCUGCUGAUGGAUUUGACAGAACAAUGGGCUGCGACAUACCACCGUAACCAGAAUAAGUCAAGUAUGUCAUACAUGAAGCAGAAAAUUUGAUUGUGCAGCUAUGCGGCUCACGAGAUACAUACACAGAUAUGGUCUUGUACUAUGUCGACACUUUCAAGUAGAGGCGCUUCUAUAGUGACACCCUGGUUCUUUGUACAUAACCAAGUGCAGCUCUCUGUCUCAAAUGUUUGGAGGAGUGGUAAAUUAAGGUUCUUUGAAUAUUAUGUCCCAC